GGGGUGGUGGCCUUGAGGGGCGGGACACUCACGAGGGCAUCUCCCACAGAGAUGCACAGUCCGCCCUGGAAAUGCCUCAGGCUUUCAGAAGGAGCGGCUGCCCAAGGCCUCCAGGCUGCCAGGCUGGAGGGCUGCAGAAGAGGCCAGACCCCAGGGAGGGUGGUCUAAGCACCCCGCUCGCUCAGGCCUGCAGGAAGACACAGCCCGGUCCAGAUGGGCCCCUGGAGACCUUCCAGGGCAACCCGCGGGGCUGUUCACGAACCUGAAGCCCGGAGAGGAUGCCCCGGCUGCCCCAGGGGCCUGUCCGGGCGCUGGCCAGCCACUCCCCUAACGGUUUUCUUUGGCCAAUCACUCUGACUCAGGGUCCUUCCUGGCAGUGCACGCUUUACUCAGCCGAGAUGGAUGCCAG
ensembl:lncRNA